UUUUAGACUAGAGCACUAGCUGGGACGUAAGUGUCCAUAACAUACGUCAUUUGGUCGUUUGGCAUGGUAGACGACAGGUCGUCAACGCACCGUUAGCGUUACGCCAGUGCUACAUGAGCAUCCGCAAGUCUACAGGGCGUCAUACUCGUUGACAUUACCUACGACACCUCGUUAUAAGGCGGACAUACGGGGAACCGUUCGCACCGGUAAACGGCCGGUCACUACUUCCGGGCUUGAUACAGCUCAGGUAUCGCCGUCUUUUUCCGGGCAUAGUCUGCUCGGGUAUCUACAGACUACUUCUGGGCUCGAUACAGUUCGGGUAUCUACAGUCUACUUCCGGGCUUGAUACAGCUCGGAUGAUCUGCACUCUACUUUCGGGCUUGGUACAGCUCGAAGUUUGCUACUUCGCAGAACACUACAACCGGUACUCAGCCGGAUCUGGUCAUUGACGGCUGGACAUAGGUUCAGGUCGUGACAAUCGAUAUCACUCCACCACUACAUCUAACAUCUACAGUUUGACUACGUUAACUGGCCAUUAACUUUGAUAUUUUUUGUUUAUUUCUUGUAAUAGUCAUAUCAUAUUGUAAAUAGUUUGUUUAAUGUUGUAAAUAAAUUGAUUUAUUCUU